rnacentral:rRNA from 1 species
GCCCAAGAGAUCGGGAUAACACCUGGAAACAGAUGCUAAUACCGGAUAACAACAGAUGAUGCCUAUCAACUGUUUAAAAGAUGGUUCUGCUAUCACUCUUGGAUGGACCUGCGGUGCAUUAGCUAGUUGGUAGGGUAACGGCCUACCAAGGCGAUGAUGCAUAGCCGAGUUGAGAGACUGAUCGGCCACAUUGGGACUGAGACACGGCCCAAACUCCUACGGGAGGCAGCAGGU